rnacentral:snoRNA from 1 species
AAUCCGUGAUGAGGGCAUUUGGUUUGAUAACCCUUAAAGCGCUCCCAAGCUUCACAGAAGCUUUCAUUUUGCUUCUGAGUGAAUCAGGAUAUCUCGUUCCGGAGUCU